ensembl:lncRNA
UAAAGAGGGCACUGGAGCACAACUAUUAUGCCCUGCUACUGGAUCAGUCCUCAGUAGGGAAGACGUCAUCGGUGAGGUGGGAAAAUGGGAAUCACCCCUGCUGUCUUUCAGUUCGUACCCUCCAUCCCGCCACGCUGAAAUCCAUGCUGCUUCCAAACUACGGGGGCUUCGUUCAGUCCAAUGGUUGGUGUUCCAUCUCGUGCUUGCGGCAGCCUAUUCAGAUUGGCUCUCCCAUGCUAGACCCUCGUACAGGUGACCUGGUGCUCAUCACCAGCGUCAGUCUUGAUCCCCAUACAGGUACAUUUCUGAUGGUUGAAAAAGCGUCUCAGCAUGUUCAAGCAGCCUGAUUGAUGAGUGUCUCUGUUCAGGAGCUGUACUACCAGUUGGGGGGCUUCUCUUGGGUGAGUCCUUCAAUAAGCCCUUGAGCGGCCGGAUGGCACGGGUUGGUGGAUGCAGUGUGCGAGGAGGAAAGGUGGUGCCUCAUGCUGGGGGUUUCCAGGCUCUGCUGGGCGCUUGCUUGCGGGUGGCGGAGCUCUUGCAAGGAUUCAGUGAGGAGUGGAGCUCAGCAGCUGCAGAUCCACAAGGUGACCUGGACAGAGUCUCGGCAGAAACAGUGGAGCUGGAGGAGGCCUAGAAAAGCAGCCAACUCUGUUUGUUGCAGAUGCUGAGUCGCCUGGAAGCCGUACAGGAACAGGCCAGGGGUGUGGCGGAGAAUGGCGGUAGUGUGGGUGGAUAGGAGCUGUUUAUUACAAAACAUCUGUACAUUUCAAGGGGAAAUCAAGCUUCCUGGCACUGAACUAUCCUUGCCAGCUCUCCCUGGGUUGGAGUAUCCUGACCCUGGAGGCUCGGGUUUGCAUGUCCCAGUUCUGGGAGCUCAGUUGGACUGGGUGUCAGGAUACAAGGUGCCUCUGGCAGCAACCAUGGAGGAUGCAGAUAGUAAAGGGCUAGUUCCCAUACGUUUUGGAGUGCAGACGGUGGACCCAGUGACAGGGGUGCUGGCUCCGGUUGUGGGGGCCAGUCUGGAUGUUUGGAAGUGGACUGUGGUUCCUGUAACUGUGUCUCAGAUUCUGACAUUAGGAGAGAACCCUGACAGUGUCACAGUGGAAGCCCUCCAGAAGGAGAGCAAUGUACGGGGCAAUUACUGGCGUGAGCAGACACUGAAGGAAGAGGAGAUGGUGGGAGAUUUUGGCAGAGCCAUUAAACACUAUCUCUCCACGUCCGUACACAAGUCUGACUGUGAGACGAGGAGGAGUGGGAGCAGCAGUGUUACUGGCACACCAAGCUUAAGGCCGUGCUGA